GUUCUAAACAAAAACCUCGCGGAAUUAGAGCAGACCUUCGUUAAUCGUAAUUUUCCACCCAGUCUAGUAAGAGACGCCCUGUCCAAAGCACGACAAACAGACCGGAGGAACUUAUUCGGUAAACGCAACGACGAACCCAAGGGCGACCGCGUAAACCUUGUUCUUACCUUUGGUGCAGGCGCGGGUAAUAUUAACAGUAUCCUCCACCGCCACCAUAGCAUCCUUCUGCAAUCUGAACGGACACGACAAAUAUUUGCCGAGAAGCCACGAGUUACCUACAGACGUGCCCGCAACCUCCAAGAUAGACUAGUCAACUCCAAAGUUCCCAAACCAUUAACACCCACGGCGGGAUGCAAUCCAUGCAAUGGUAAAAGAUGCCAAAUAUGCAAAUCAAUGCAAAGCACGGCAGCGGUCAAGAGUACAAACUCCGACUUCUCCCUUAAAAUCAAUGGCGACUUUUAUAUCAUUCAAUGUACAACAUGCUCCGCGCAAUAUGUAGGUCAAAGUAAAAAUUCAUUUAGGAUUCGAUUCAAUAACCACCGAUCAGAUGUUUCGAAAAAAGGUAGCCUCCCGGUUUCUCGCCAUUUUAGUCGACCCGGUCAUUCCAUUAAUAACGUCGCACUUUUUAUUCUAGAGUCAAAUUUCACAUCCGAUCGCUGCAGAGAGCAACGCGAAUCGUACUUGAUCUACAAAUUCCAAUCUCUAAUAAAUGAGGAUAAAGGAGUGCUAUCAACUGUAAGAAGCAUAUCCGGAUAACUUUUUUUCUGUAUGUCCUCGGAGUGCCCGCUGCCUCUUUUCUUUUUUUCUUUACAGCUGGACACAAUGACUCUAAGAACACCCCGGACAACAGGUUUUCAACGAGCGCGACCCAAGGCUCUGACCACUGAUCUCGAUUGUAAAAGGCUGGAUCGCGGAUUGGGAGCGCGAGCGUGAAGAAACCGGCCGCCAUCUUACGGUGCCCACAACAGUCGCCGCAGCGAUCAUGGCAACUUCUUGCAAUUACGGUCGUACCAACCGUACUGGCAAGGUUACAGGGCCUAAAUUUAUACAGGUUUCGUCAUGAGGGCUGUCCAGUGAAUAAUCUGUGCAGUGUGAUACGGCUGGGUGUACAGGUUACUUCACAGCUGGCUCGACAUACUCAAGAAAUGGGUGCAGAACCUACGUAAUGCCCGCAAACUUUGACUACCACAGCAUCUCCAGAAAGUAAAGGGAUAUGUGUCACAUGGGAUUUUUAAAGGCAUUCACAGUAUAUAAUACCUUGUAUGAACUGUUGUAGAUCUAAGCAGCUUCUACAGUACACUCUCAGAAAUUAAAACUUGUCAGGGAACUGUGAUAAUUGUUUCAGUUAAUAGGCAUGCACAUAUACGCUAUAAGAAGACAAUUAUUUAUUGAGAAUGCACUUCUCUGGCUACUCAUGUUGUUUACAUCUACUGUUGAUCACAUUCAUUUAUCACAUAUUAUAUUCUUAUAUAUUAUUAUUAUAUUAUCACAUAUUCGAUCACAUUAAAUUUAAAA